rnacentral:tRNA from 1 species
GGAUAUAGCUCAGUGGGUAGAGUGCUUGCCUAGCAUGUACAAGGCCCUGGGUUCAAUCCCCAGCACCA